CCCUUAGAUGUUCUGGGCUGCACGCGUGCUACUCUGAUAUUGCCAAUAUGUCAUUCUUAUCCGAAAUGGAUUGGGUAAUCAAGUAAUGAAAUUUCAUGCUUGGAAUCGGUAAUUGCAAUUUUAUCGUGAACGAGGAAUUCCUAGUAAGCACUAGUCAUCAGCUAAUGUUGAUUAUGUCCCUGCCCUUUGUACACACCGCCCGUCGCUACUACUGAUUGGGUGUUCAAGUGAGAUGCUUAGACCCUUGUUGCAUGGUUCAUUAUUGUGCUCCGAAAGGAAAAAGUUUCAAGCUUGAGUGUCUAGAGGAAGUAAAAGUCGUAACA
rnacentral:rRNA from 1 species